AAGACUUGUGAAACAUUAACACACAUCUCUUGAAUGCAACUCAAGCACUUUAAUUAAGCUAAAGCCUC
rnacentral:tRNA from 1 species